rnacentral:rRNA from 1 species
GACGAACGCUGGCGGCGUGCCCAAUACAUGCAAGUAGAACGCACAGUUUAUACCGUAGCUUGCUACACCAUAAACUGUGAGUUGCGAACGGGUGAGUAACGCGUAGGUAACCUGCCUGGUAGCGGGGGAUAACUAUUGGAAACGAUAGCUAAUACCGCAUAAUAUUAAUUAUUGCAUGAUAAUUGAUUGAAAGAUGCAAUUGCAUCACUACCAGAUGGACCUGCGUUGUAUUAGCUAGUAGGUGAGGUAACGGCUCACCUAGGCGACGAUACAUAGCCGACCUGAGAGGGUGAUCGGCCACACUGGGACUGAGACACGGCCCAGACUCCUACGGGAGGCAGCAGUAGGGAAGCUUCGGCAAUGGACGAAAGUCUGACCGAGCAACGCCGCGUGAGUGAAGAAGGGUUUCGGAUCGUAAAGCUCUGUUGUAAGAGAAGAACGGGUGUGAGAGUGGAAAGUUCACACUGUGACGGUAUCUUACCAGAAAGGGGCGGCUAACUACGUG